CCUGGCUCAGAACGAACGCUGGCGGCAGGCUUAACACAUGCAAGUCGAACGUCCUGGCAACAGGGCGUGGCAGACGGGUGCGUAACGCGUGGGAACAUACCUUUCGGUUCGGAAUAACCCAGGGAAACUUGGGACAAUACCGGAUACGUGCGAAAGCAGAAAGAUUUAUCGCCGAAAGAUUGGCCCGCGUCCGAUUAGCUAGUUGGUGAGGUAAUGGCUCACCAAGGCGACGAUCGGUAGCUGGUCUGAGAGGAUGAUCAGCCACACUGGGACUGAGACACGGCCCAGACUCCUACGGGAGGCAGCAGUGGGGAAUAUUGGACAAUGGGCGAAAGCCUGAUCCAGCCAUGCCGCGUGAGUGAUGAAGGCCCUAGGGUUGUAAAGCUCUUUCGCCAGGGACGAUAAUGACGGUACCUGGAGAAGAAGCCCCGGCUAACUUCGUGCCAGCAGCCGCGGUAAUACGAAGGGGG
rnacentral:rRNA from 1 species